rnacentral:lncRNA from 11 species
CACAGGCAAGAUGACUGCUUUUCUUGCACAGCAUUUCCUAAUCGAGAGCAGUGAAUCAGGAGUUCAGCUUUUAAGUGCAGAGUGCACCUUUAAUAAGAAUUUUUGUUUGAACAAAGGAAAUGAACAAAUGCACUUAGGAAAGAAAACAGCCAUAUAUAUCCAGAGAGAAACCAAAAGCAACAAGAGAGAAUUCAGAAUUAUGACACAGCACAGGCCCCCUUCUGAUGACUUACAUCACGACCCCUUCAUCAUCUUAGUUGUUAUUGCUUUUAUUAGCCUUGGAGUACAGAACUUUAAACUUCAUACUAUUGAUUUUCAUCCCUUCACCGUUCACUCCGAGCCUCAUCCACAAGGUCGUUUCGUUCUUCCUGUUUAAAAAAAAAAAGUAAAAACCCCAGUCCUCUGUUUUUAUUGACAAUGUUUCCCAGCCCUAUCAUCAGCAAAACUGCAUUAAUGUCUGUCUGCUACAAUUCCCCCUACCCACCCCCUCUUGCACACUCUUAGCCAAGGACUCUAAUGACACUAGGAAAGAAGAUGUCUCCCAAGGAUGUCCCAGGAAGAAUUCCAUCAGUGACUUCUUUCCAACUCAGUAGUUCUUGCUUUUCAAUAACCUUUCAGAAUUGUCUUAGAGGCAGAGGUCGGGUUUUCUUCUUUCACAGAGAGAUGUGGUAAUUCCAGAACAUAUUAAAAAAGCAUCUGUGUUUUCAGAAAAAGAGUGAAAGUUGUGUGAGGCGAAUGGGAGAAAAGAUGGAAACAUCAACAGUGGUAGUAAAGUUUCAGAACUCAAGUUUGGAAAGGGCUUUGAACAUGAUUUCUUUAUUCUCAGUAUUUUUAUCAUGUUUUCCAACAAGGGUUGUCUUUCAGAGCAUCACGUAUCAAUAGAAAAAGGUCACAGUCUUAUCCAUAAUGGUCUAAACUAAAAAAAAG